AGAGUUUGAUCCUGGCUCAGAUUGAACGCUGGCGGCAGGCCUAACACAUGCAAGUCGAACGGUAACAUUUCUAGCUUGCUAGAAGAUGACGAGUGGCGGACGGGUGAGUAAUGCUUGGGAACUUGCCUUUGCGAGGGGGAUAACAGUUGGAAACGACUGCUAAUACCGCAUAAUGUCUUCGGACCAAACGGGGCUUCGGCUCCGGCGCAAAGAGAGGCCCAAGUGAGAUUAGCUAGUUGGUAAGGUAACGGCUUACCAAGGCGACGAUCUCUAGCUGUUCUGAGAGGAAGAUCAGCCACACUGGGACUGAGACACGGCCCAGACUCCUACGGGAGGCAGCAGUGGGGAAUAUUGCACAAUGGGGGAAACCCUGAUGCAGCCAUGCCGCGUGUGUGAAGAAGGCCUUCGGGUUGUAAAGCACUUUCAGUUGUGAGGAAAAGUUAGUAGUUAAUACCUGCUAGCCGUGACGUUAACAACAGAAGAAGCACCGGCUAACUCCGUGCCAGCAGCCGCGGUAAUACGGAGGGUGCGAGCGUUAAUCGGAAUUACUGGGCGUAAGCGCACGCAGGCGGUUUGUUAAGCUAGAUGUGAAAGCCCCGGGCUCAACCCGGGAUGGUCAUUUAGAACUGGCAGACUAGAGUCUUGGAGAGGGGAGUGGAAUUCCAGGUGUAGCGGUGAAAUGCGUAGAUAUCUGGAGGAACAUCAGUGGCGAAAGCGACUCCCUGGCCAAAGACUGACGCUCAUGUGCGAAAGUGUGGGUAGCGAACAGGAUUAGAUACCCUG
rnacentral:rRNA from 1 species